AAAGUCAUCAAUUGGAAUUCCCGAUAAUAAAUUAACAAAUCCUAUUUCUAAUGAAACUAAUAAGUUUCCGCAUCACGAUAUAUAUGGAUAACUUUCUAUUCUUGCAUCCCGUCAAUUAGACGUAUCAAUCCCAAAUUCCUGAAUAUGGCUCUUUCACCCCUCGAAGGAUAGAGAAAUAAUCAUUAUACACCUUAAAAACGAC
rnacentral:lncRNA from 1 species